GGUGUCCUGGGAAUGUACGCUAAAUCCAGGGAAUUUGGGCGUCCAAGUCCCGGGGUUUUACGUACAGAAGUUGGCAGGAUUGGAGAGUGGUCUCUCCACUUGCGAUGGUUUCAUGACAUGAUACCAUGGAUGUUUGCGUACAACGUAACAAACUACUAUGUCGAUUCUAAGAAGUAGGAGAUUUUGGUGUCCAAAGGUCUCA